CGGGGACGGGGAGGGACGCGGCGGCUGAAGGACAGCCCCGCUUGGUUCAGGGCGGCUCUGCGGGGGGGUUGGAGACGAGGGGGCUGUGGUCGAUGGCUUUCGCACUGCUCGUUUGUCCCUCCUCGGGUGGGUCUGAGCUUAUUUGCAGUUCUCACGAGGUGCGUAUGCUCUUCAAGCUCCUGCUGUGCUCACUAUGUAUCUCCUCACAAAUGGUUCUUAAUAACCAGUGAUAAAUUGAUCACAGCAAUCCUGAAGGAGAAAGGGAAGAGCUGGAACGGGUCCACUGUAGCAGUCGAUGCUGAGUGCCAGUACUUUACUGCUGUGGGAAUGCAGUAAAGCAUGCAUUCUGCUGAGAGGUCCCUAUAGGUCCUUUUAUUGAUCUUACCACAGAGAGGUGUGUUGUAAAAACUGAAUAAGAGAAUUCUCAUUGAAGCCCCCGAGAGCCUCAAUGCUGAGAAAAGUCAGGUUAAGGAUUUCAGUUUCCCUACAGUGCUUCCUUUGCUUACAGCUACUGCUCUCUUUAAAACUUCUGGGAAGGGAUGAGGAGGCUAAAGAAAUUUCUUUAGCUUUAUUUUCAUUUAUGCUGCACCUUUGGGUUGUUUUGAAGCUUUGCUCAUAUGCUGAAGAGGUUUGAAAAUGUCUAUAGUAGGGCACUAAUACUGUACCUAUCAAGAUUUUGAAAGGUGCAAGCAGGAGUAAGGGUUUUCUUUCUUUUUUCCUGGUGUUCAUAAUCCAGAUCUUAUUUAUAUAUUUGAAAUUAUGUCACGAUCUCUGAAGUACAAACAAAAAUAUGUUGUUCUGCUUUGAUUCUCCUUAUGCUGCUGCACUUUUUCUGUUUUGAAUUGGAAUGAAUCUUGCGUUUUGGGAAGUAUGCUUCCUGUAUUCCAAACAGCCCUUUUAAUAUGAGACAACACUAAUAUGAAUUGUCAAAGCUCAUAGGGAGUUUUGUCUGCAAGGACUGAAAUAUAGUAUCUGAAAGACAAAAAAAAA